UACAGAGGGGGCAAGCGUUAUUCGGAAUUAUUGGGCGUAAAGGGCGCGUAGGCGGCUUGGCAAGUGGAAGGUGAAAUCCCUCGGCUUAACCGAGGAACUGCCCUCCAAACUGCUUUGCUUGAGGCCGGGAGAGGUGAGUGGAAUUCCCAGUGUAGCGGUGAAAUGCGUAGAUAUUGGGAGGAACACCAGUGGCGAAGGCGGCUCACUGGACCGGUUCUGACGCUGAGGCGCGAAAGCGGUGGGGAGCAAACGGG
rnacentral:rRNA from 1 species